rfam:Clostridium sp. JC272 contig115, whole genome shotgun sequence.
UAGAUUUGAGGUUGGAAAUGGCUCCCAACACGCUAUCUUUUAGAUAGUUACCAGAGAUGCAGGAUACGCCGCCCUGCCAACUCUA